CACGCACAUCUUAGAAGCUUUCGGAAAUGCCAAGACAACUCUUAACGACUCGUCCAGUUGCUUCAUAAAGUAUUUUGAACUGCAGUUCUGUGAGAGGCAGAAGCACGUGACUGGAACCAGAAUUUAUACAUACAUGCUAGAGAAAUCCAGACUGGUUGCACAGUCUCCUGGCCAGAGCAAUUUUCUCAUUUUCUACCUGUUGCUGGACGGGCUCUCUGCUGAAGACAAAGACGGGCUUCACCUGGGCCACCUCCGUGCUCACAGGCGGAUACAAAUGCCAUUCCUGGCUGAUGGAUGGGGACGCUGAGCCCUGAGGAUAAGUAACUUGUCCACGGCCAUGCAGGAAGAAAAUGGAGUCACGCUGAUCUCCAAC